CGCAAUGGGCGCAAGCCUGACGGAGCAACGCCGCGUGGGGGAGGAAGGUUUUUGGACUGUAAACCCCUUUUCUCAGGGAAGAAGAAAGUGACGGUACCUGAGGAAUAAGCCUCGGCUAAUUCCGUGCCAGCAGCCGCGGUAAUACGGGAGAGGCAAGCGUUAUCCGGAAUUAUUGGGCGUAAAGCGUCCGCAGGCGGUUAAUCAAGUCUGUUGUCAAAGCGUGGGGCUUAACCUCAUAAAGGCAAUGGAAACUGAUUGACUAGAGUAUGGUAGGGGUAGCGGGAAUUCCAGGUGUAGCGGUGAAAUGCGUAGAUAUCUGGAAGAACACCAGCGGCGAAAGCGCGCUACUGGGCCAUAACUGACGCUCAUGGACGAAAGCUA
rnacentral:rRNA from 1 species